AUCAAGGCGUGUUUUAUGGGUUGUGUUCCUCUUCUACAGCCUGUUAACUGUGGCUCGUUAGCAUGAGACACAUUACACGAACAUGGUAAGCAGUAAAAUGACCAAGGCAUGUGCCCCAACAGUUUAAAGGCAGAAUAGCAUUUUUUUUCCUUGUCCUUUUGUUUUCUGGUCAGCAGAACAAGACUUUGGAAAAAGAAAUGGUGUGACAACUCCAGCAAAUGAUACAGAAGCUUUGGCAUAGCUUGUCGGUCUGGUGUUUAAUUGAUCAUCACUUCAUCAGUGUUCAGUUCGUCCAGCAGCAUGGUGGUCCACACUUUGCUACGAAAAGAACUAUUGAACUAAAAUGAAUUUUUGUUUAGUUAUAUGCUCAUUUCUUUUGGGGAUGUAUGGUUCGGCUAAAAAAAUGGUGACAAUCCUGUUACUUGUACCUACGUUCUAAUCGCACCGAUACUACACCGGCAUCCUACUGUUCAAAAUACUAUGCCGGUCGCAACAAUGCUUACUUACUGAAAGCAUGUUGCUUAAAAGAUGAACAUGUUUUCUUUUUGUCCUUCCAGGUUUUGCGGUGUCAUUUCCGCAGGAUUUCUUUUGCUCCAGCUUGGCGCGACGUAUUAUUCUCAGAAAGCUGAUAGGUAGAAGGCAAGAAUAAAGAAGUUAAUUGAGGGAGAAGCAACGAAGGGAAGAAGUACAUGUCCAGUUCACAAGAUUUGCCAUGCUUGUCCAAUUGUAGCAAAAGGCCGGAAUGAGUGCUCGGGUGAAACUUGCUUUGAGACCAUGGCAUUUCUCCCAUAAGCAGCAGCAGUGCAUCUUCUUUUGCUCAAGUAAGGGCUUCUCUCAUUUACCGCCUUCUCUUUAUGCUCUUUCAUCAGCUGUACUCUGUUGCGGUUGGCAACCCUCGCAAGCUAGCAGCCUAGCAGGUGGGCGAUCUGAUGUUGAUCUUGCAGGACUCAGGCUAGUUUCCUGUUCCCCCUUUUUAUCUUUACCACCAAUCGAUCGUUUUCUCUCUUUGCAUCGAUCACACUCUACUCUUCAGCCAAGAUGCUUUCUCUCUCUGUCUAAAGGAAAAAUGAUUCUUGUAGUAGGAGUUCUCUCUGAACAAGAAAAGAAGAGAAGAUCCUUGAGAAAAGAUUAACCCAGGGAGGACGAAAACAUCUUUGCAGGACAGUGUAGCGCUGGCAGUGGCAGUGCUCGACGGCCGUUGCAAGCCUGCAGUCGGUCUCUUCCAGGGCGUACAGUCUAAAGCAGAGGCAGGCGCAUGCAGCCGGACGCUGUUUGUAACGUGAGGCGCACAGGCUCCCCGGAGUCUUGUCUGAUAAUGCAUCGGAUUCCGCUGUUCUCCCGCCAAGAGAACAAACAGUGAUGGACUGAUGAUCGUAGACCGACCAAGUGCGUCGUGAAGACACAUGCGUUGCUCCGAGGUUGUCUGAAAUCACACGUUACAUCUGAAGGCGCUCGAUGGCAUCUGCAGCUGCAGCUGUUGACAUGGCUGGAUCGUCUGGCUGGGAGCUUGCGUUGAUCGCAGCAUGGAGUAGCAGCUGGCAGCUGCAUCAUCCAACCGACACAGACGCAUCGAGGAGCUCUAAGAGCAUCUCUGGAUCCCGCAAAUCGGUGUCCGGCAAAACCGUUUUAAGGUCUCCCUGAAAACGGUUUACCGGUAUGGCGACCAGUUUACAGGAUCUGUUCCGCUGGAAUCCUCACGGUACCGCAAAACCGU